UUCAUCUUAAUCAAAACUUGUCUUACAAAAGCUCUCACAAGUAUAAUGCUAAAGUCUCUACAUAUUCUCGAUUUGGAUCUGAAUGUCAAAAGCAUAAAGUCUUGGAUAAAGUUUGAUAUCUUGGGGAUUUGAGAGGUGGCUUUCACUAACUCCCGUGGGAUUCUAGAGGUGGCCCCCAUGCUAUGGCGGUAAGCUCUUUUAUACUGGUUUGAGAAUCAUCUUAUAGGAUUUGUGGGAAGCCGCACCUGAUAUUGUCUGCUCGAAACGAAACUUGCCUUGCAAAUAUGUUCUUUGAGUUGUCACACUUGAUAGUGGAUUAUUAGAAUCCCUUGAUAUGCAGUUGUGGUGGUGUUUCAAACUCUUCUUAUUAAAGCACAAAAAAUAAUCCGAACCAGAAUCAUACCAAACAUUUGGAUUCUAGACAUGAAUUCCACUGUGCAGUGCUUUGCGCUCGUAUUUCAAUUGGUAACUUAGCGAUAUCGGACAUGAUAGAGUACAAGAUAAGCAGGCGAUACGAAAAAAUAACUAAAAUACAAUAAGAAUAAGACAUGCUAAGAAAAAGAAAUAUAAACAUACAUGCCAAAAUCCAUGUAAUAUGAUUAUGCAUAUUGAUUCGACUCAAAUAUAUAAAUUACCAAGUGUAAUUAAUAGUAAUUGUUUUGACCGCCUCGUAUUGUUUGUUGAUCGGGGGUGGUGCUCAUCUUUUUGGUUUGAUAUGUUUGCUAAGGUGUCUUUUCUUGAUUGGUUUCUGUAGGUAUUUGAUUUUUGUUCUGACUCACUCUUUAUUUGGACGCAUUCAUUUCUAUCUUAAAUAAUGCAAUUGGUGUAUUAAUGUCAGAUUUUGUGUGAAGUGAAACAUUGAGUUGGAACGAAUUUCAUGAUUUCAAGGUCGGUUACUUUUGACCCGAACUUUUUGUCCCAAAAUCGAUGUUAAUAAGUGGGAAGGUGAUUCAGUUGGAUGUUUGUUGACUACUUGAAAAGUAGAUAUGGUUUAACUUUGUUCAUGCCAUGUUAUUAAGGAUAGAGAUUAGAUUGGUUGAUGUGCCUUAACACUAGCAGAGCCACAAUUUAGCUUUAUUUAUUACUCUCAUACGCAAUAUUUAUAUAUGUGCGGCAAAGCGGAAUCCCAUACAUACAAAUCAAAGGGUUAAGAGUUUAGAAAGUGUUCAUUUUUUUUUAAAUGCAUUCAAUUAGUUUUUCAAACAUUAAAAAUGUGUCAAUUUAGUCCUUUGCUAGCUGUUCACAUCUUUGAUUGUUAUUGUACUGAAAUGACCGUUACUGAGUCAAGCAUCAUAAUACUGACGUGUCAC
rnacentral:lncRNA from 1 species